UACAGAGGUCCCGAGCGUUGUUCGGAUUUAUUGGGCGUAAAGGGUGCGUAGGCGGCGGAGUAAGUUGGGUGUGAAAUCCCGAGGCUCAACCUCGGAAUUGCAUUCAAUACUGCUUCGCUCGAGUACUGGAGAGGAGGCUGGAAUUUACGGUGUAGCAGUGAAAUGCGUAGAGAUGUGGAGGAACACCAGUGGCGAAGGCGACUUUCUGGUCUGUAACUGACGCUGAGGCGCGAAAGCGUGGGGAGCAAACAGG
rnacentral:rRNA from 1 species